UCAGAGUCACAUUGGAAAAUGUGCUGUAUCCAUUAACCUUUUUGCAAAGAGCAGAAGAAAAACC
rnacentral:lncRNA from 12 species